rnacentral:lncRNA from 1 species
GGGCUCGCAGGCUUGUCUCAGGCCUCCAGCGAGAACCCUUCCUGACGGCGGGCUCGUCCCCCACAUGUUCCCCAGACACGGGUUAUUUACAGGACGCCCGGACAGCGAUGCUAAAUGCAUAGCAGCAGGGGCUGCGUGUGUGAUGGCUGAGGUCAUGGUUAUUCAUUUCAGCUGUGAAGACAUUUGGUUUAUAAAACCCCAGUGACUCCACUGGGAGGGACUUUCGGAGAAGAGAAACAGCCCCUGAUUUCUCUUCCUGUCUCAGCACCGGUGGGACCAGCACUUACAUCACUGGCCCCUGUGCAGCGAGUGGUCUGGGGGCCAGGGAAGGCCAUGGACUCCCUCUGGGCGAGUCUGUCUCUUCGGAGGAAGAUGGCGUGAGUUAUGGUGAUUUACAGCAGGCCCACCAAAACUGUGUCUGAUGGCCAUCCAGGUCGAUGGGUGACAAAUAUUGGCCAUCACUUCCAAAGAGGAGCUCUUUGUAGCCCUCUGCACACAAAAAGAGGAAUCACCAUCCGUGAGCCCCUUGUGAACACACCCAGUAACUCGCAGACUAAGGUAUGUCCUCAAUCAGUGCUUUCUUUAGCAAAGUGUGAUUUAGCAAAAUUGUGUUUGUGCAGAGAAAAAAGACUCGUGGGACAAAGUGGUGAGAAUACCCAGAACGUACCUUUCCUUCUGCCUGUUGAUUUGUAUUUUCUAUAUUUUAACCACAAACACAGGUGAAUUAUUUCAAGAAAAAAAUCUCAACCCAUUUAAUCAGUAAUUUAGGAAUGAUGGGGUGGGCAUCCUGCUCCCUUCCCCCAGGACAAUGGGUUUCCUGCUGCCCCCAGGGGCAGAAGCACCUCUCUCUCCCUCCCUCUUGGUUGGGGUUGGGCAAUUCUACACACUCCUCUUAAAUCAGCACUCACAUUGGAUCAUAUGACUCCAUCCUUUGAAACAGUGGGUCCUGUAGGAUCUGCCUGGCCUGGGUGCAUUCUCCCCCCUUCCACAGCAAUUUCAGUUCAAUUCUGCAUCAUGUCUGUGCACCCUGAACUCUAUUCUUUCUUGUGCUAUCGUUGUAAUAUUUCAGGUCUAUUUGUGAGCUCAUCUCUCCAUAUAUUUUUUUUUUAAGAUUUUAUUUUUAACGUGGACCGUUUUUAAAGUCUUUGUUGGAUUUGUUACAGUAUAGUUUGUAUUUUAUAUUUUUGGUUUUUUUUUUUUUGGCAUGUGGGAUCUUAGCUCCUCCACCAGGGAUUGAACCCAC